rfam:Pachysolen tannophilus NRRL Y-2460 unplaced genomic scaffold PACTA_scaffold_10, whole genome shotgun sequence.
GAGAAGAUCUCCAAUGUUGGUAGUUGGUAUUGAGCUGUAAACUCAACGAUUUAUUUCUUCGUGUGUUCAAUUCACACUCUUCUCA